rnacentral:rRNA from 1 species
UACGUAGGUGGCGAGCGUUGUUCGGAUUUACUGGGCGUAAAGGGCGGGUAGGCGGCCACUGCAAGUCGGUUGUGAAAUCUCCGGGCUUAACCCGGAAAGGUCAGCCGAUACUGCGGGGCUAGAGUGCAGAAGGGGCAACUGGAAUUCUCGGUGUAGCGGUGAAAUGCGUAGAUAUCGAGAGGAACACCUGCGGCGAAGGCGGGUUGCUGGGCUGACACUGACGCUGAUGUGCGAAAGCUAGGGGAGCGAACGGG